rnacentral:misc_RNA from 1 species
CUGAUUUUUUCGUUCAGUUGAUGCUUAGGCGUCCUGGCGAAGACUAACACUUUGUGCACUAUACUGUAGCUUUGGGUUUCUUUGUCUCUACGGCCAAUUAAAUUCGGUCGUUUUGACUUUCUCCAUGCCUUUGGCGAGGAGAGGGAGCCCUGACAUUUAUACAAACCAUUAUUUUUGACUUAUAUCUCUAUGAAAAUAGAAA